rnacentral:rRNA from 1 species
GGUUAAGCGACUAAGCGUACACGGUGGAUGCCCUGGCAGUCAGAGGCGAUGAAGGACGUGCUAAUCUGCGAUAAGCGUCGGUGAGGUGAUAUGAACCGUUAUAACCGGCGAUUUCCGAAUGGGGAAACCCAGUGUGUUUCGACACACUAUCAUUAACUGAAUCCAUAGGUUAAUGAGGCGAACCGGGGGAACUGAAACAUCUAAGUACCCCGAGGAAAAGAAAUCAACCGAGAUUCCCCCAGUAGCGGCGAGCGAACGGGGAGGAGCCCAGAGCCUGAAUCAGUGUGUGUGUUAGUGGAAGCGUCUGGAAAGGCGCGCGAUACAGGGUGACAGCCCCGUACACAAAAAUGCACAUACUGUGAGCUCGAUGAGUAGGGCGGGACACGUGGUAUCCUGUCUGAAUAUGGGGGGACCAUCCUCCAAGGCUAAAUACUCCUGACUGACCGAUAGUGAACCAGUACCGUGAGGGAAAGGCGAAAAGAACCCCGGCGAGGGGAGUGAAAAAGAACCUGAAACCGUGUACGUACAAGCAGUGGGAGCCUCUUUAUGGGGUGACUGCGUACCUUUUGUAUAAUGGGUCAGCGACUUAUAUUCUGUAGCAAGGUUAACCGAAUAGGGGAGCCGAAGGGAAACCGAGUCUUAACUGGGCGUUAAGUUGCAGGGUAUAGACCCGAAACCCGGUGAUCUAGCCAUGGGCAGGUUGAAGGUUGGGUAACACUAACUGGAGGACCGAACCGACUAAUGUUGAAAAAUUAGCGGAUGACUUGUGGCUGGGGGUGAAAGGCCAAUCAAACCGGGAGAUAGCUGGUUCUCCCCGAAAGCUAUUUAGGUAGCGCCUCGUGAAUUCAUCUCCGGGGGUAGAGCACUGUUUCGGCAAGGGGGUCAUCCCGACUUACCAACCCGAUGCAAACUGCGAAUACCGGAGAAUGUUAUCACGGGAGACACACGGCGGGUGCUAACGUCCGUCGUGAAGAGGGAAACAACCCAGACCGCCAGCUAAGGUCCCAAAGUCAUGGUUAAGUGGGAAACGAUGUGGGAAGGCCCAGACAGCCAGGAUGUUGGCUUAGAAGCAGCCAUCAUUUAAAGAAAGCGUAAUAGCUCACUGGUCGAGUCGGCCUGCGCGGAAGAUGUAACGGGGCUAAACCAUGCACCGAAGCUGCGGCAGCGACACUAUGUGUUGUUGGGUAGGGGAGCGUUCUGUAAGCCUGUGAAGGUGUACUGUGAGGUAUGCUGGAGGUAUCAGAAGUGCGAAUGCUGACAUAAGUAACGAUAAAGCGGGUGAAAAGCCCGCUCGCCGGAAGACCAAGGGUUCCUGUCCAACGUUAAUCGGGGCAGGGUGAGUCGACCCCUAAGGCGAGGCCGAAAGGCGUAGUCGAUGGGAAACAGGUUAAUAUUCCUGUACUUGGUGUUACUGCGAAGGGGGGACGGAGAAGGCUAUGUUGGCCGGGCGACGGUUGUCCCGGUUUAAGCGUGUAGGCUGGUUUUCCAGGCAAAUCCGGAAAAUCAAGGCUGAGGCGUGAUGACGAGGCACUACGGUGCUGAAGCAACAAAUGCCCUGCUUCCAGGAAAAGCCUCUAAGCAUCAGGUAACAUUAAAUCGUACCCCAAACCGACACAGGUGGUCAGGUAGAGAAUACCAAGGCGCUUGAGAGAACUCGGGUGAAGGAACUAGGCAAAAUGGUGCCGUAACUUCGGGAGAAGGCACGCUGAUAUGUAGGUGAAGCGACUUGCUCGUGGAGCUGAAAUCAGUCGAAGAUACCAGCUGGCUGCAACUGUUUAUUAAAAACACAGCACUGUGCAAACACGAAAGUGGACGUAUACGGUGUGACGCCUGCCCGGUGCCGGAAGGUUAAUUGAUGGGGUUAGCGGUAACGCGAAGCUCUUGAUCGAAGCCCCGGUAAACGGCGGCCGUAACUAUAACGGUCCUAAGGUAGCGAAAUUCCUUGUCGGGUAAGUUCCGACCUGCACGAAUGGCGUAAUGAUGGCCAGGCUGUCUCCACCCGAGACUCAGUGAAAUUGAACUCGCUGUGAAGAUGCAGUGUACCCGCGGCAAGACGGAAAGACCCCGUGAACCUUUACUAUAGCUUGACACUGAACAUUGAGCCUUGAUGUGUAGGAUAGGUGGGAGGCUUUGAAGUGUGGACGCCAGUCUGCAUGGAGCCGGCCUUGAAAUACCACCCUUUAAUGUUUGAUGUUCUAACGUUGGCCCCUGACCGGGGUUGCGGACAGUGUCUGGUGGGUAGUUUGACUGGGGCGGUCUCCUCCUAAAGAGUAACGGAGGAGCACGAAGGUUGGCUAAUCCUGGUCGGACAUCAGGAGGUUAGUGCAAUGGCAUAAGCCAGCUUGACUGCGAGCGUGACGGCGCGAGCAGGUGCGAAAGCAGGUCAUAGUGAUCCGGUGGUUCUGAAUGGAAGGGCCAUCGCUCAACGGAUAAAAGGUACUCCGGGGAUAACAGGCUGAUACCGCCCAAGAGUUCAUAUCGACGGCGGUGUUUGGCACCUCGAUGUCGGCUCAUCACAUCCUGGGGCUGAAGUAGGUCCCAAGGGUAUGGCUGUUCGCCAUUUAAAGUGGUACGCGAGCUGGGUUUAGAACGUCGUGAGACAGUUCGGUCCCUAUCUGCCGUGGGCGCUGGAGAACUGAGGGGGGCUGCUCCUAGUACGAGAGGACCGGAGUGGACGCAUCACUGGUGUUCGGGUUGUCAUGCCAAUGGCACUGCCCGGUAGCUAAAUGCGGAAGAGAUAAGUGCUGAAAGCAUCUAAGCACGAAACUUGCCCCGAGAUGAGUUCUCCCUGACUCCUUGAGAGUCCUGAAGGAACGUUGAAGACGACGACGUUGAUAGGCCGGGUGUGUAAGCGCAGCGAUGCGUUGAGCUAACCGGUACUAAUGAACCGUGAGGCUUAACCUU